rnacentral:rRNA from 1 species
UACGAAGGGGGCUAGCGUUGUUCGGAAUCACUGGGCGUAAAGGGCUCGUAGGCGGCCAACUAAGUCAGACGUGAAAUCCCUCGGCUUAACAGGGGAACUGCGUCUGAUACUGGAUGGCUUGAGUUUGGGAGAGGGAUGCGGAAUUCCAGGUGUAGCGGUGAAAUGCGUAGAUAUCUGGAGGACCACCGGUGGCGAAGGCGGCAUCCUGGACCAACACUGACGCUGAGGAGCGAAAGCCAGGGGAGCAAACGGG